rnacentral:miRNA from 1 species
UGUCGCGGUCAUUUUAUUUGGA